rnacentral:lncRNA from 1 species
GUGCAAUAGCACUUACUAGCACUAGUAGUGCUAGUAGCACUAGAAGUGCGAUAGGUGGGUUAUAGGGUCAGUCUAUUUUUAACUUUUUGAGGAACUUCCAUACUGUUUUCCAGAGUGGCUUCACCAGUUUGCAUUCCCAUCAACAGUGCAAGAAGAUUCCCCUUUCUCCACAUCCUCACCAACACCUGUUGUUUCCAGUGUUAAUCUUAGCCAUUUGGACAGUGUAAAUUUGCUCAGAGGAAUACCUGCACGCAAGACUGUACAGAGUUUGAAAGAUGUUAAGAGCCUUAAGUGUAGCUAUCAGUACACAAUAAUUCAUUUAUUUAACACCUAACUGGAGAUCUACU